AAAAAGACAAACCCUGGUUUCCGUGCCUAACGUUUGACCGUCCGUCUUAUUUGAAAAAAUUAUGAAAAAAAUUAAAAAGACAAGUCACGCAUAAAAUAUUAAUCAUGUUUUAUCAUCUAACAACAAUAAAAAUACGAAUUAUAAAGAAAUUUCAUAUAAGACGGACAAUCAAAGUUGGACACGGAAACCCAGGUUUGAUUUUUUU
rfam:Oryza sativa Japonica Group DNA, chromosome 11, cultivar: Nipponbare, complete sequence.